CAUCUUGAAAUCCCAACAAAUUUUCAAAAGCAGCGCCUCAUCCCGCCAGUGAACAUCUAAUUCAAAACACCGAAUUCCCAAAUCGCCCACAAAAAGAGAAGAACAAAGAAAGAGAUAGAAAAAUGGAGAAGAUACGUGUAGCAGUUAGAGCGAGACCAGCUGUCUCUGUAUCUGAAGGCACCACCAUUAACGGAACCUGCUGGAUAGUGGAAGAAAAUUGCAUCUCUCUUCACAACUCUCAUGGCACUCCUAUCUCCGGCAUCUCUCAUGCCUUUAUAUUCCUCUCUAUUUCCUUGUUCAUUUCUGUAUUUUAUUCACUCGAUUCUUUUUGGUAGAUCACGUGUUUGAUGAGAGUUGCACAAAUUCUACAGUGUACGAGCUCCUUACCAAGGAUCUUAUUCAUGCUGCGGUUGACGGUUUCAACGGUAUUGUGAUCCACUAGAGAGGUUACGCUGUUUCAAGUGCAGUUAAUUGGCACUUUGGAGCGACAAACAUGAAUGCUCGCAGCAGUAGAUCUCACACGAUAUUUAGAAUGGUAGUCGUUGACGUGAAGCUAUACAGACACGAUUUCUUCGAUGGAAUUUACUUUUGUUCCAAGGCAAUGCAUGUCAAAUGUCAGGUGAUUGAAAGUAAGGGGAAGGAUGCAAAUUCUAGCUAUUCUAAUAUAUUCCUUCCCCGUGAUCUUCUUGUAGAUUUUAUCAGAUGCAGCCUCGCUGAAGCGGCAGAAAUUAGAGAUAGAGGAGCAGCGUAAGAAACUUCAGGGAUCCCGGGCUGAAGUACUGGAGCAAGAAAUUUUAAAAUUGAGAAAUGAUAUGCUGAAAGUAUGAAUUAGAGAGAGAAAAGCUUGAGAUUGAGCUGGAAGAGGAGAGGGAAUCACACAAGGAACGUGAUCAAUGUAUCAAAGAGGAGCAGAUGAAAAUUGACAAUCUCUAUACCCGCGCCACCUCUUCAGAUCGAUGGUGUAAGAGCUCUAGCCAGAAUGCUGGGAAACAGAGCCUCGAGGAAUUCAGCGACAGCAAUAUUGUUUUCCAAGAAGAUGUUUUUGGAACCCCUACAUUGAUUCAAUCCAAAUGACUCCUGCAAGGGAAGUUCAAUCCUUUCCUUAUAGUGAUGUGACACCAGUGAGUUUAUGUUAAAUUAUUCAUGUACUCAAUCUUGUUGUCUGUAACUGCUACUUGUCUCUUUCCUAUGUGUUAAAC